rnacentral:lncRNA from 1 species
AUGCUAUGGCUUUUUUAUUUUGUAUUUAUUUAUUUAUUUAUUUAUUUUGAUUGGGUGGAAUUGGGGGAGUUCAGCGAACGCGCCGUCAGCGCUGCACGGAAGAAAGCGCUCGGGGCGGCGUUGGCCGCGCACUCUCCGCGGCCUGCCAGAGCGCCGCCAGCAUCAAGCAGCCUGCCCGGGCCCGCCGCUGCGUGGUUCGGCUUUAUAUUUAAUACAUGCCUUUUCAUCUAUAAUUCACGCUGCUCAGACUCCAGCCACGUCUCGGCUCCCAUUUACGCCUGCACACCUUUCUCCUUCCCCUUCCCGAAGGGUCAGCCGAGAUACUCGGUGAAGGAAGGGGAGAGCUGUUUCGCUGGUUGUGUUUUUGUCUGCUUAAACAUCGAGCUGGAAAACACUUGUGGUCUGAUAAAUAAUAAAAGUGCUGAUUUCUCUUUCCCUGUAAAUGACACAGUUGAUAGCAUUGGCCAGCAAGAGAUCCAAGUUACUGCCUUGAAGAUUUUAGAAGAUUUUACAUCUUCAGAUGCAGGUUCCUGCCUUCAGAUUCCUAUAUACAUACACACGUACGGCGCAGUGUUAGGCAGUGGUGGAAGCUCCUUAUUUCUGUUAGAGACUGAGGAGCACUGUGAGACUGACUGCUCUUUGUGCUGAACUCAAGAGACAGCAAACGCAAUACUGGGUGCAUCAUCCAACAUUUUUCUAAUUUGAUAGUGAAAACCUGGCAUCAGCUAUUAUAAGCAGUCUAACUGACAUUCAUACAAGUUGGAAGAUUUUAAAGCUUAUUUUAAGGCUGAUUGGCAGCAACUUUCUCUUCAAAAACUGAAUGCAGUAGCAAUAAGUUAAUCACAAGCAUUAAUAAAAAUUGUGCUUGAGGUCA